CCGGGGCUGGACCGGAGCGGAGAAGAGGGCCUCCCGGUGAAAAUGGACAGCCCGGAAUGACUAACCCUCCUCACCGGACGGUCCUUGCAGCAUAGAUGGCCCGGACCAGCUCACCCUUCCUUCCCACCGAGGGGAGGUAGAGAAUCGGGCAAGUGGCCGCAGAAAGAAGCUUUAGUGGACACCGAUGACUGUGGGGAAAAGAGAAUCAGCACCACUCCCCUGCUGCAUUUGGAAUUUCACCAAAGGGCAGAGCUGCAGUACCGGUCACUACCAAUGGACAGGAGGGGCGCAGUACCGGUCACUACCAAUGGACAGGAGCGGCGCUAUUUCUAUUAAAAAC